UAGCAACCGCGUAGGAAUUGAUGGAACAGCUCACAAUGAGGAGGCGACAACAUAGAGGAAAGGUGCCGAUGACAGCGCAGGGUGAAAUGGAGAGCGUCGAGGCGGUGGUCCCAAAACAUGCAGGUACCAUGCGCGUAGGACACUAGGACUUGUCCAUGUGGACCAUCAUCACAUUUGUAGUAAUGUUUUUUGGCCAAUUUUAUUUCUUUAUGAGCCAAAUUAAUAAGAUUUUUUUUUGCAAGUUGGAUGAAACUCUCCUUUUGCCUAGAAGAUGAAUUCCGUGAUACUGUUGCCAGCCAUCUUGAGACUGGCAGCAUUAGCAAGCGCAUAUGGAU